AUAUAAACGCAUUAAAAAAUAAAUAAAAAAUAAAAAAAUUAAUUAUGCCAGUUCUGGGGGAGAAAAAUAAACCAAUAAUAAACGAUGCUACUUCAAAAAACGGUUAUUUUCAUAGCUACAUUUUUUAAAGAACAUUAUAGCAGCUGAACAUUUGUUAAUUUGUAAGAGUGCUUAAGGAUAGUAAGAUUAAAGAAAUUAAGUUAAAAUUUUUUUUUUAUCAGUUUAUAACUAGAUACAUUUAAUUCAUCAUUAUAUGAUGCUUACAUGUAUAUUAAAUAAUGUAUUUUUUUUAGAUGCUUGUCUACCUUUGCACGCAGCAAAUACAUUGAUAGUCAAUAAGUCAAGAAGUCAAAAAGAUAACGUUGUUUAAGUGUUUUACAAGAUGUCUCAACAUGGUCUUGGGGUUUAUCCUCCUCCGGCUAGUACUAGUACUGCUAUAUAGGGCCCACAUUACCAAGGCCCGCAAAGAACAAGUUCAGCUCACUAAAGAGAAUCAUAACCCGCUUCGCUGACCAAGAAUAAGUGAUUUUAGGAAGAACAAAAAAUUAUAGAGUGAAAGUCAGAAGAAGUCGAGUUAGGAAAAUAGCAUAAAGAAAGCGGACAGAUAUUGCACUAUAUUUUAGAAUGUGCAAUAUUAAUUUCAAUAUGUCAAUUUUAAUUUUAAUUGAAAGUUUUAGAUACGUACAUAUUAUACAACGUUUUUAUCA